rnacentral:rRNA from 1 species
UCGCUAGUAAUCGCGGAUCAGCAUGCCGCGGUGAAUACGUUCCCGGGCCUUGUACACACCGCCCGUCACACCAUGAGAGUCGGGAACACCCGAAGUCCGUAGCCUAACCGCAAGGGGGCGCGGCCGAAGGUGGGUUCGAUAAUUGGGGUGAAGUCGUAACAAGGUAAC